rnacentral:rRNA from 1 species
UAGGGAAUCUUCGGCAAUGGACGAAAGUCUGACCGAGCAACGCCGCGUGAGUGAAGAAGGUUUUCGGAUCGUAAAACUCUGUUGUUAGAGAAGAACAAGGACGUUAGUAACUGAACGUCCCCUGACGGUAUCUAACUAGAAAGCCACGGCUAACUACGUGCCAGCAGCCGCGGUAAUACGUAGGUGGCAAGCGUUGUCCGGAUUUAUUGGGCGUAAAGCGAGCGCAGGCGGUUUCUUAAGUCUGAUGUGAAAGCCCCCGGCUCAACCGGGGAGGGUCAUUGGAAACUGGGAGACUUGAGUGCAGAAGAGGAGAGUGGAAUUCCAUGUGUAGCGGUGAAAUGCGUAGAUAUAUGGAGGAACACCAGUGGCGAAGGCGGCUCUCUGGUCUGUAACUGACGCUGAGGCUCGAAAGCGUGGGGAGCAAACAGG